rnacentral:rRNA from 1 species
GCUUACCUGCAAGUCGAACGGUGAACACGGAGCUUGCUCUGUGGGAUCAGUGGCGAACGGGUGAGUAACACGUGAGCAACCUGCCCCUGACUCUGGGAUAAGCGCUGGAAACGGCGUCUAAUACUGGAUAUGUGACGUGACCGCAUGGUCUGCGUCUGGAAAGAAUUUCGGUUGGGGAUGGGCUCGCGGCCUAUCAGCUUGUUGGUGAGGUAAUGGCUCACCAAGGCGUCGACGGGUAGCCGGCCUGAGAGGGUGACCGGCCACACUGGGACUGAGACACGGCCCAGACUCCUACGGGAGGCAGCAGUGGGGAAUAUUGCACAAUGGGCGCAAGCCUGAUGCAGCAACGCCGCGUGAGGGACGACGGCCUUCGGGUUGUAAACCUCUUUUAGCAGGGAAGAAGCGAAAGUGACGGUACCUGCAGAAAAAGCGCCGGCUAACUACGUGCCAGCAGCCGCGGUAAUACGUAGGGCGCAAGCGUUAUCCGGAAUUAUUGGGCGUAAAGAGCUCGUAGGCGGUUUGUCGCGUCUGCUGUGAAAUCCGGAGGCUCAACCUCCGGCCUGCAGUGGGUACGGGCAGACUAGAGUGCGGUAGGGGAGAUUGGAAUUCCUGGUGUAGCGGUGGAAUGCGCAGAUAUCAGGAGGAACACCGAUGGCGAAGGCAGAUCUCUGGGCCGUAACUGACGCUGAGGAGCGAAAGGGUGGGGAGCAAACAGGCUUAGAUACCCUGGUAGUCCACCCCGUAAACGUUGGGAACUAGUUGUGGGGUCCAUUCCACGGAUUCCGUGACGCAGCUAACGCAUUAAGUUCCCCGCCUGGGGAGUACGGCCGCAAGGCUAAAACUCAAAGGAAUUGACGGGGACCCGCACAAGCGGCGGAGCAUGCGGAUUAAUUCGAUGCAACGCGAAGAACCUUACCAAGGCUUGACAUAUACGAGAACGGGCCAGAAAUGGUCAACUCUUUGGACACUCGUAAACAGUGGUGCAUGG